AGCCUGAACGCUGGCGGCGUGGCUAAGACAUGCAAGUCGAACGGAUAUAGCAAUAUAUCAGUGGCGGACGGGUGAGUAAUAAAUCGCUAAUGUACCCCGGAGCCAGGGAUAGCUGCCCGAAAGGGCAGGUAAUACCUGAUGAGACCACGAACAGGCAUCUGUUUGUGCUCAAAGCCGUAAGGCACUCUGGGAGCAGGCGAUUACGUAUCAGCUUGUUGGUGAGGUAACGGCUCACCAAGGCAACGACGCGUAGCUGGUCUGAGAGGACGGCCAGCCACAUUGGGACUGAGACACUGCCCAGACUCCUACGGGGGGCUGCAGUAACGAAUCUUCCGCAAUGCACGAAAGUGUGACGGAGCGACGCCGCGUGUAGGAUGAAGUCCUUCGGGAUGUAACUACUGUCGAGGGAAAGAAGUUCUGAUCUACCCAGAGGAAGAGACGGCUAACUCUGCGCCAGCAGCCGCGGUAACU
rnacentral:rRNA from 1 species